rnacentral:rRNA from 1 species
AACGAACGCUGGCGGCAGGCCUAACACAUGCAAGUCGAGCGAGACCUUCGGGUCUAGCGGCGGACGGGUGAGUAACGCGUGGGAACGUGCCCUUUGGUUCGGAAUAGCCCCGGGAAACUGGGAGUAAUACCGGAUAAGCCCUACGGGGGAAAGAUUUAUCGCCAAAGGAUCGGCCCGCGUUGGAUUAGGUAGUUGGUGGGGUAAUGGCCUACCAAGCCGACGAUCCAUAGCUGGUUUGAGAGGAUGAUCAGCCACACUGGGACUGAGACACGGCCCAGACUCCGACGGGAGGCAGCAGUGGGGAAUCUUAGACAAUGGGGGAAACCCUGAUCUAGCCAUGCCGCGUGAGCGAUGAAGGCCUUAGGGUUGUAAAGCUCUUUCAGUGGGGAAGAUAAUGACUGUACCCACAGAAGAAGCCCCGGCUAACUCCGUGCCAGCAGCCGCAGUAACAC